GCCCCCAAAACAGACCUUUUCUCUAACUUGGUUAUCUCAGGCUGUCGGUGCCAUGGUGGGCGGGGAGUGCGGUGACCAACCUGUUGACUGAGUGAUACCCAGGAAGCCCCUCCCUCCGCCUCCCUAGCCAUCUUCAUAUGAGGUGUUUGGGGACAAGAUGCCAACCCCAUUCUCAUUCACCACCUCCCUACUGUCCUGGCCCAUCCUGCAGUCUAAGGUGACCAUGACCGAGAGAGUACUGCCCAUCGCAAAGAGGGUGGGUCCUAUGGGGACCCCUCAGCUCGGAGCUCAGUUGUCAUCUUGGAUGUUACUUUUAGGUUUUCUCCUAAGGGUUUUAUAAUUCAUUUUUUCACAUUUGUGAACUCAUUGUCCUGGAUGGUGUGAGGCUGGGAUUGGACCUUAUUUAUUUUUCCCAUUGGUUGGUCCAAGGCCCAAACACUGAGGAGCACGUGCGCUUCCUCUGGCUCCGGCCACGCUCCUGUCACGCAGGGUCUGUUCCUUGGCACCCUGCUGCGUUCUGUUCGACUUCCUAACUUACUUCUCCUGAGUGAUCUUCUUUCAGGGCACCCAGUUACCUUUGUGUGUGCUGAUAGGACCCAGGAUUUCUCUUGCAGUCCAGUUUUUCCAAAUUGUCUUAGUUAUCCUGGGUAUUUUAUUCUUGUGAUUCCAGAAUGAACUUGUCUAGUUGUUUUAAAGUGGUUAGCUCCUCUAAGCCUCCAUUUCCUUUCCCAUGACCUACACCUCCCACGAUGACCAAGACUCCGUGAACGCAAGGCCUGGGACUAAGCCCUGGAGCAGUGUGAGCACUCCGUAGAGAGUGGUAUCAUUGUCCCCAAAUGCCCGAGCCAGUGCAGUCACCGCUGCUUUAAAGCCUCGUUGGCUUCCCAGUCAUGCAGAGUAAAGUUCAAACGCGGCCAGCCAAGCCACUGACCCCAGCCUACCUUUCCCACAGCAUCGCCUGGCCCUCUCUCCUCCCUGCCCACUAUGACCAUCAAGUUCCAGAUACCUGCCCUUCCCCCGGGGUCCCUUCAGCUGGGGAUCCCCUCAUCCAUCCCAAAUCCUCUCAGAUGAUGCCUCUUUUGGGAAGGGGGAAGGGGUCGGUCACCCCCUCGAUCUUCUUUUCUUGCAUGUGACUGUGUCGCUGUGACUCUAUUUAUAUAGUAAACUCAGCACAGCCCUGGGCAUUUCCCAAGCAGGUGCAGCACAUAGUGAUCACACCCCAACUUUGGUGCCAUAUACUCCUUCACUUAUUAUUAAACACAGCAGUCAUGGAUGGCAACAUGUCAAGAUCACGGAGCCUGUCAGCAGCGGAGCUGGGACCCGCACCUGGCUGAACUCCAGCGCCCACACCUGUCACACCAGGCAGCCUUCCCAUGAAUGUGUCCCUCCCCCUUUUCUGAUCUGCUCUCUGUCCCAUUCCUCCAUUAUCCUCUCAACAGGGCUCUGCAACAUCAGCACCCCCCCGCCUCCUGCAGCUUAUUCUACCCAGGCUGUCACCUCUCCCGUUUCACGCCAUCUGUCACCCAAGCAGGUGCCUCUGCGAGGACUGUGUGUCCUGGUUUUAGCACAUUGCUGGUAUUCAGGACACAGAACAUGGGGCCUCAUGGCUUCACCUGCAGAUGCUGAGAUGUUAGCUGGGUGUCACAAGACCAAGGAGAGAAAACAAGCCCUUCACACUCUAAAUCUGCCUGAAACCAGGAAGCAACCAAGGCCGUGGCUUCCAUCGCAGGCUUCAGCCACAAAGUCCUGCAGGCCACAGAAAGAGGACUCCACACUCUGCCUUUACCCUGAGAAUGGAAUGAAAAUCAGAUGACAUGCGGUAGAUGUGACGUUGAUGAGCCACACACCUGUACAGCGGUCCACAAGAAUGUGACAUGGUUUUGGACGCUAAGGAGACCUGAGUGACUGGACACCGCCUGCUGGAGAAAUAAGCAGUGACACUCUCGUCACCUUCCAGGUACUGAUCUUGGUUUUUUGGCCAAAGCAUUUACUUCUUCAGCAGAGCCCCUCUGGCCUGCUGAAUUCCCAGUCACUGCUUCUCUUGAGCUCCCUGCCAGAGGACAGUCCCAUUCUCUAACACAAGCUCAGGCUCAAUGGCCAUAACUGUAAGGUGUGUUCCACACAAGAACCUUUUACUUCAAAAGCUUCAUGUCAGAAUCAGGUGAUUGCUGGCCUCACUCAAGGAGUAUAGCUAAAAUCAACAUAAAGUAAUAUUCCUUUUGUUUUCUAACUUUUUGUAGGACUGGGGAUUGAAAUCAGGGCCUCAGCAUGCUAGGCAAGUGCUCUA